UACAGGGGGGGCAAGCGUUGUUCGGAAUUACUGGGCGUAAAGGGCUCGUAGGCGGCCAACUAAGUCAGACGUGAAAUCCCCAGGCUUAACCUGGGAACUGCGUCUGAUACUGGAUGGCUUGAGAUUGGGAGAGGGAUGCGGAAUUCCAGGUGUAGCGGUGAAAUGCGUAGAUAUCUGGAGGAACACCGGUGGCGAAGGCGACAUCCUGGACCAACACUGACGCUGAGGAGCGAAAGCCAGGGGAGCAAACGGG
rnacentral:rRNA from 1 species